ensembl:rRNA 5S_rRNA 5S ribosomal RNA
GUCUAUGGCCAAGCCACCCUGAACGUACCUGAUCUCGUCUGAUCUCAAGUUAAGCAGGAUUGGGCCUGGUUAGUACUCGGAUGGGAGACCACCUAGGAAUACCAGGUGCUGUACGCA